rnacentral:tRNA from 1 species
GCCUGAGUGGCUCAGUUGGUUAAGCGUCUGACUUCGGCUCAGGUCAUGAUCUCGCGGUUUGUGAGUUCGAGCCCCACGCCAGGCU